AGAGUUUGAUCAUGGCUCAGAAUCAACGCUGGCGGCGUGCCUCAGACAUGCAAGUCGAACGAUUAAAGCUCUCUUCGGAGAGUGUAUAGAGUGGCGCACGGGUGAGUAACACGUAAGUAAUCUACCCUCGAGUGGGGAAUAACAACCGGAAACGGUUGCUAAUACCGCAUAAUGCAGCGGCACCGCAAGGUGACAGUUGUUAAAGAUUUAUCGCUUGAGGAGGAGCUUGCGGCAGAUUAGCUAGUUGUAGGGUAACGGCUUACCAAGGCUACGAUCUGUAACCGGUCUAAGAGGACGGUCGGUCACACUGACACUGAAUAACGGGUCAGACUCCUACGGGAGGCAGCAGUCGGGAAUUUUGGGCAAUGGGCGAAAGCCUGACCCAGCAACGCCGCGUGAAGGAUGAAGUAUUUCGGUAUGUAAACUUCGAAAGAAUAGGAAGAAUUAAUGACGGUACUAUUUAUAAGGUCCGGCUAACUACGUG
rnacentral:rRNA from 1 species